UGUUCCUGCUGGAUAUCAUCUUCUAGAAGACCGGCUACCCAAGUCAGAGGUGGCUGCUAAUAAUUUACCUGGGCCCUCAGCUAGGACCAGAAACUAAUUACAAUAGAUGUGAUCUGGAACAAGGAACUGGACAAUGGAAGAGGCGAUUUCACAUACCCCACAAAGAAAUCAGAAUGAAGUCCCAUGCGUAUUUGUGACGCAUCAUUGAGGUCUGUGUCCUGCUCCACCGCAUACGCAAGGACAGGAACAUAUUGUUAUCGACUUAUCAGCUGAGGAUAAGGAAAAAAGUAUUGAUGUACAGUACCUGUGUAUCCACACCCCACCACAAGUUGCACCACAAGUCAGCUGACAGACAUGGAGGUCUGCACUACAUGGAUGAGUAUGUCGAUCUUCACUUCAAGUAAGACUUUCAAUCUGUCUAAUUGCAUGUAAAGAUAUACAGAAUCUGAUUAAUGUUUUAUUAAUUAAUGUGGGACUAUUAGAAAAUAUUAAUGUUUUAUAUAUUUUCUUCAGCCUCCCCAUCAUAGAAGCCCUUUACAUUAAAAAAAACUUGGAGCCAAACCUCAACAUACAAAACCUAUAGACAUGCAAGCGCUCCCAAGUAUGAAGCGAUGGAAGAACACGCCUACACGCAGCCAAACAGAGGCCGAGCUGACCGUGCUCAGCCAUCAGCCAGCCAUAUGAAUAUAGCACGCGCUAUAGUGCUACCAUUCAGCACAACGGCCUACCUGCUAUCCACAUCCCCCGUGCUGCGUUUGACGCCCCCCACCGCUCCACGCAGAGGCCAACACGUCGAGCCCCUCCAGCUGACCACCGUAGGGAGGCGCUCGAUUUGAACGAGCACGGCCAAAAGCAAGCAACAGUAGAGGUGGUGGGAGCUGUACGACAGACGGAAGAAGAAGAGGAAGAUGAAGACGAAGAGAUUGAUGUCGAACACGUAGAAGAGGACGACUGCAUGGAGUAUGGUGACGAAGCUGAAAUACAAGAACAUGUGCACGUCAAAACAAAAUCAGAAACAGCAGGCACACCUCAGCCCACUCCACUAACACGGCAGACUAGAUCAUCGACAGCCGCAGUUAACAGAACAGCCCAGCCACCCAUUGCAGACCGGGAGAAAACACCAAGAGAAGAUCAAGAAACAAUGCGCCCGGCUAUGGUGAUGUUGAAACAUCUUAAAAGAACCAAACCACAUGUAAUACUUUCUCCCAUAAACAUCAAGACAGUUGAAGAAGAAACGGCUCUACCACCACGUCAACAAGAAGAGUGGUCGACAGUAACGAGACACAAACAAAAAAGAAAAUAAAUGACCAGCAUGGGGGUCUGCCCCCCCACCUUUUUACCUCACUCUGUACUUCUCU